rnacentral:antisense_RNA from 1 species
GGAACCGCGGGCCAGGAGACGACAGGCGGGGGCGGAGGCCCGCCCCCUCCGGACGUCACUCCGCGGCGGCCGCCGCCGGUGUGAACCGGUUGAUGAAUGGCUAAGCGCCGAGUCGGAGCAUCCCCGGGGCGGGGGAGGGAAGGGGCUGCCGGGGGUGCUCCGGGAUGCAGGAAGCCUGAAGUUAAGAAGGGGUGGGAGCGAGAGAGAUUCCGAUUUAUCGACUGGAAGGAAUCAUGCUGCAAACCACGUUUCUCAUAAUUAAAACCAUCCAGGAGUGCACACAUGUCACAUGAGGAGACUCGAAGUUUGCCUGAAUCGUAAAAUGCAAUCCUUCUAGGGCUGGAACUGCGUCUCAGUGUCGAGCCUGCUUUCUACUGCCUUAACCACGGUCAUCUUUGCCAGUGGUUUACCUUGGCACCUGGGCCCCGAGUACCUUCGUCAUCAAAUAAUAUUUAUGUCGCAAGACCGCUGUACCCGGUGACUCAACACCUUGCAUGCCACGGCCUUAGGCUUGGUCAAGAUGAAUUCUUGUCCCUGGGGGCGCUUUCAAGAGGGGAGAAACUUACCUUCGCAAAACUUAAGGCUAUAGAAGAUGGGGAGAGUAUCUUUUGAUGCAGACGAAGCCCUAUGCUCCCUAUAUUCUUUUUUUGAUCACGCCUCUCUAUACUACGUACGCGUGCAACUGCAGUUGGCUCAAUUGUGGCAUUUCGAAAUCACAUGCAUCCUUUGUACUGCUGCUCACUUGAUAUGUUGUCUCAGAUAAUGAAAGGUUAGGAAGUGCUUAAAGAAAGCGUUUUUAGAAAUUAAGAAUCCUCGGUUUUGUCAAGCACUGAUGUAAUUCUUUGCGUCAAAGCUAAAGCUCUUCUUUAUGUUCGUUUUCAGUCCUCUUUUACUGACUUCAUUAUUUAAGCCCCUAAGAAGUAAAGUCUUAUCGCAAUUCUGUGGCAUACAAGGGCAACUCUGUUAUUUAUAAUCUGAAAACCCUUUCUCCUCAGCUCUGGAGAAGGAGUAAACAGGACCUUUACCUGCUUUUUAAGAACUCAGUUUUCCACUAACACUGAAGCCUUUUGUUUGUUAUUUUCACCGAGUAUGAGAUUGGAGAGGGCUUUAGGGAUCAAAUUUUGUCCUCUUUCAGUGCCCUGCAGCAUCUUAGGAUUUAUUAGAACUUCUAUUUAGAGACUGGUUGUAUAGUUAUUCAACUUUCUUAACUCUGUAAGUAAAAUAAGAACUUUAAAAAAACAAAAACAAACAAAAGCCUGGGCCAGACUUUCAAAGGAACAAAAACGAUUCGUCAUUUUGAAGAAAAUGGCUCACCCUACGACACAUUUUAAUCCAUUAAAAUCAAGGAAAACUAGCACACUUGAGACAUAUGUCCCUUUACAAAUAAAUGAUUUUAAAAAGUAAA